AUUGAACGCUGGCGGCAUGCUUUACACAUGCAAGUCGAACGGUAACAGGCCGCAAGGUGCUGACGAGUGGCGAACGGGUGAGUAAUGCAUCGGAACGUGCCCAGUCGUGGGGGAUAACGCAGCGAAAGCUGCGCUAAUACCGCAUACGAUCUCUGGAUGAAAGCGGGGGACCGAAAGGCCUCGCGCGAUUGGAGCGGCCGAUGUCAGAUUAGGUAGUUGGUGGGGUAAAGGCUCACCAAGCCAACGAUCUGUAGCUGGUCUGAGAGGACGACCAGCCAGACUGGGACUGAGACACGGCCCAGACUCCUACGGGAGGCAGCAGUGGGGAAUUUUGGACAAUGGGCGCAAGCCUGAUCCAGCAAUCCCGCGUGAGUGAAGAAGGCCUUCGGGUUGUAAAGCUCUUUCGGCAGGAACGAAACGGUGAGCUCUAACAUAGCUUGCUAAUGACGGUACCUGAAGAAGAAGCACCGGCUAACUACGUGCCAGCCGCCGCAGUAACAC
rnacentral:rRNA from 1 species